rnacentral:rRNA from 1 species
AUUGAACGCUGGCGGCAGGCCUAACACAUGCAAGUCGAGCGGAUGAAGGGAGCUUGCUCCUGGAUUCAGCGGCGGACGGGUGAGUAAUGCCUAGGAAUCUGCCUGGUAGUGGGGGAUAACGUCCGGAAACGGGCGCUAAUACCGCAUACGUCCUGAGGGAGAAAGUGGGGGAUCUUCGGACCUCACGCUAUCAGAUGAGCCUAGGUCGGAUUAGCUAGUUGGUGGGGUAAAGGCCUACCAAGGCGACGAUCCGUAACUGGUCUGAGAGGAUGAUCAGUCACACUGGAACUGAGACACGGUCCAGACUCCUACGGGAGGCAGAAGUGGGGAAUAUUGGAAGAUGGGCGAAAGCCUGAUCCAGCCAUGCAGCGUGUGUGAAGAAGGUCUUCGGAUUGUAAAGCACUUUAAGUUGGGAGGAAGGGCAGUAAGUUAAUACCUUGCUGUUUUGACGUUACCAACAGAAUAAGCACCGGCUAACUUCGUG